rnacentral:rRNA from 1 species
CGUGAUCUCGUUCCUAUAAUAUCUC